GUGGGGAAUCUUCCGCAAUGGACGAAAGUCUGACGGAGCAACGCCGCGUGAGUCAAGAAGGUUUUCGGAUCGUAAAGCUCUUUCGUUAGGGACGAACGUGCUCUUUGUGAAUAAUGAGGAGUAAUGACGGUACCUAAAUAAGAAGCCACGGCUAACUACGUGCCAGCAGCCGCGGUAAUACGUAGGUGGCAAGCGUUGUCCGGAAUUAUUGGGCGUAAAGCGCGCGCAGGCGGGAUAUCAAGUCUGUCUUAAAAGUGCGAGGCUCAACCUCGUGAGGGGACAGAAACUGGUAUUCUUGAGUGUCGGAGAGGAAAGUGGAAUUCCAAGUGUAGCGGUGAAAUGCGUAGAGAUUUGGAAGAACACCAGUGGCGAAGGCGACUUUCUGGACGAUGUCUGACGCUGAGGCGCGAAAGCUAGGGGAGCGAACGGGAUUAGAAACCCCGGUAGUCC
rnacentral:rRNA from 1 species